AUCACCAUAGAAGUCUCUGUUAUAGAUAGUGGCAAGAUGAUGAAUUUGCAAGAUUUCCAAAGGCAUUGCCUGAAAUUUUGUUUUACUGUUGUUGCCUUGGACCUGACCCAGUUAACCACGAGCAUUGGGAAAUGCUCAUCCCAUACACUCAACUAUUUAGACACAAGAAAGAGGUUUAUAUGAAUUAGAAGUAUGGCAGAGUUUUGAUUAAGUCAGAUAUUUGUGGAAGUCUCAGGUUUUUUUCAUAGUGUGAGUUGGUGGCCUGUAAAAGUUCGGCCUUUAAGGAUUUUCCUUUUAAUUACUUUUUCAGAAUGAAAGAUGGAAGAAUUUUCACUUUUCUGGCCUUUUCCUGAUGACAGUGGCUUUGACUGGGGGCCCUGAUCUCCCAAAUGCUGAUUGUCUUAUGUUCCUCAGUUCUGAAAACCUUCAAGCAUACAGUCAGGUGUCCUGCCAGCAGCUCUGCAGCAGUCACUGCUUUUGCAAUAUUGGGCUCUGCUCAUUUCAAAACUGUGAAGCAAUCCAGCUUAGCAGUCAGCAGAGUGUAAAACUGAAUAGUAGGAAGUAUUGGAGAGCACCUACUCCAGUUUCAAGCAGAAGAAAGCCUUAAAACUUCAAGGAUCAGAAUGCUGGGGCAUCUCCACUGGCAGGUAUCUUUCAGGAGCUGCCUUAUCAUGUACCUGUCAUACAGCCAAAGUAGGAGCAACUGUUCAUUCUAAGAUGCAUAAAUCAGCUUUCCAAGAUGAUGCUCAAGGAGAGUGCUGAAGAGCUCUGAAGAGCUUGAAGGUGGCAGGUACGGGGUGGCACACUUGAACUGCUCCUGGCUGCCCUGGAACAUCCCACUGAAGAUAACAUUUAUGGAAAUGCAAGGAAAAGAAUUGCUCCACCUUGCAGGUACAAAACAAGAUGCCACGUUCCUCACAGCAGCCAGAGUUGGCGUGGAUGAACAGCUCUCCCAGAGGGACCUGCUUCCCUGUGGGAAGAUGCUGCCCAGGACAGUAACGUUUCUGCUACUAGAGCUGAGGGGAAAGGCCAUAUUUGGGACCUGACGUUGGGUCAGAAUUGGAGCUGGAACUUUGAAUACAAUUUUUUUCCC